rnacentral:rRNA from 1 species
GACGAACGCUGGCGGCGUGCCUAAAACAUGCAAGUCGAACGAGGUCCACCCAGUGGCAACACUGGUGAAGACCUAGUGGCGAACGGGUGAGUAACACGUGAGGAACCUGCCCCGAAGACCGGAAUAACCCUCCGAAAGGAGAGCUAAUACCGGAUACCCCCUGGAGACCGCAUGGUCACCAGAGGAAAUGCUUUUGUGCUUCGGGAGGGCCUCGCGGCCUAUCAGCUUGUUGGUGAGGUAACGGCUCACCAAGGCAUCGACGGGUAGCUGGUCUGAGAGGACGAUCAGCCACACUGGGACUGAGACACGGCCCAGACUCCUACGGGAGGCAG